AGUCCCGUGGUGUAGCACACAUCAGAUUGCAAACCUGAAGACGCAGGCUAACAGCCCGCCGGGACUU
rnacentral:tRNA from 1 species